CCUAGAACAGGAACGGGAACAGGCAUCUCAUACGUACUCCUGUGCUCACCUUACACUGGGCACCAGGCUUGUGUAAGGACAGGACUUAGGUGUGUAGGACUGUUGGGAAAACAUACUGAGAAAUGUACCUGAAAGGGCUUUGAAAAUAUAGGUAUGACUUUCUGGUUUUUAUUAUGUUUCUGCUUUUCAAUCACAACCUUGCUUUUUUCUUUCAUUAAUGUUCAUAGUUUUUCCUCUCAUUAGCCCAUUCACUGCCUACUUUUCUUCUGCAGUUUUCAUCAAGUUUAAUUUCUCCCUUCCCAAAAUUAAUCCAUUGGGUAUUUGCUUUUUGUUUUGUGUACCAGGGACUGAACUCAUGACCUCACACUUAGGUAAGCACUUGAGCCAACUAAGUUAAAUCCUUGGCCCCUAUAUUUGCUUUUUUAAGCCUAUGAUCAUUAAUUCCUUUUGUCCACAAUAACCACUGAAGUCACUGGCCUUCUCUAGCCAUUCCGCUUCCUUUUCUACCUUUUGCAGGUCCCAAGACAACGAACCCACUUACUUCCUAUCUGCAAGGCCAGCAAGCUCACGUUCCUAAUUCUUCGCCUGCAGAACAUAUUCCUUCUUCAUGUGUGAACCAGAAGCGUAUUCCAGUCCUCAAGACUCCCCUAGGCCUCCUCCUCUGUCCUGCUGCCCAUUGUGCCUAAUGAGCUACAAACUAUUCAUAUUUGGCCUUCCUAAGAGAGAAGAUCCCCAGUGAUGAAAAAUCUGAAGCUGACAGUCAGUUAAAGAAGGAGCAAUCUUGAAGACCCUUACCCUCUGUAAUGAGUCUUCUAGAAGCUGGAUGGCACUGCUGAUGGCUUCCUGUGGCACAUACGAGGACUCCCCAUUGCCCUGAAUCUCCAGCACUGCCAUCUGCAGUGAAGAGGAGCCCAGAGGAAAAUCAGGGCACUAAGAACUCUGGUGCUCCCACAGUGACUCCCCACGGCCAGCAGGUUCCUGUUCUCCCUCCAUUUCUACUUCCCCACUUUUGCCUUCUGGUAUCCCCCCUCCUUCUGUUCUCACCUCUAGUGCACACAUGCCAAAAGAAUAAAUGUCCACUGCUGUUGUCA